rnacentral:tRNA from 1 species
GCGGGAAUAGCUCAACGGUAGAGCGUCAGCCUUCAAGCUGAGGGUUGCGGGUUCGAGUCCCGUUUCCCGCU